UUCAGAGGAAAGUGGCUAUUGAGGA
rnacentral:piRNA from 1 species